rnacentral:rRNA from 1 species
UACAGAGGUCUCAAGCGUUGUUCGGAUUUACUGGGCGUAAAGCGAGUGUAGGUGGUUUGCUAAGUCAGGUGUGAAAUCCCCAGGCUCAACCUGGGAACUGCAUUUGAUACUGGCAGGCUAGAGUGUGGUAGAGGAUAGUGGAAUUCCCGGUGUAGCGGUGAAAUGCGUAGAUAUCGGGAGGAACAUCAGUGGCGAAGGCGGCUAUCUGGACUAACACUGACACUGAGACUCGAAAGCGUGGGGAGCAAACAGG